AGUGAACGCUGGCGGUAGGCCUAACACAUGCAAGUCGAACGGCAGCACAGUAAGAGCUUGCUCUUACGGGUGGCGAGUGGCGGACGGGUGGGGAAUAUAUCGGAAUCUACUUUUUCGUGGGGGAUAACGUAGGGAAACUUACGCUAAUACCGCAUACGACCUACGGGUGAAAGCAGGGGAUCUUCGGACCUUGCGCGAUUGAAUGAGCCGAUGUCGGAUUAGCUAGUUGGCGGGGUAAAGGCCCACCAAGGCGACGAUCCGUAGCUGGUCUGAGAGGAUGAUCAGCCACACUGGAACUGAGACACGGUCCAGACUCCUACGGGAGGCAGCAGUGGGGAAUAUUGGACAAUGGGCGCAAGCCUGAUCCAGCCAUACCGCGUGGGUGAAGAAGGCCUUCGGGUUGUAAAGCCCUUUUGUUGGGAAAGAAAAGCAGCAGGUUAAUACCCCGCUGUUCUGACGGUACCCAAAGAAUAAGCACCGGCUAACUUCGUG
rnacentral:rRNA from 1 species